rnacentral:rRNA from 1 species
AACGAACGCUGGCGGCAUGCCUAACACAUGCAAGUCGAACGAGACCUUCGGGUCUAGUGGCGCACGGGUGCGUAACGCGUGGGAACCUGCCCUUAGGUUCGGAAUAACUCCCCGAAAGGGGUGCUAAUACCGGAUAAUGUCUUCGGACCAAAGAUUUAUCGCCUUUGGAUGGGCCCGCGUUGGAUUAGCUAGUUGGUAGGGUAAAAGCCUACCAAGGCGACGAUCCAUAGCUGGUCUGAGAGGAUGAUCAGCCACACUGAGACUGAGACACGGCCCAGACUCCUACGGGAGGCAGCAGUGGGGGAUAUUGGACUAUGGGCGAAAGCCUGAUCCAGCAAUGCCGCGUGAGUGAUGAAGGCCUUAGGGUUGUAAAGCUCUUUUACCCGGGAUGAUAAUGACAGUACCGGGAGAAUAAGCUCCGGCUAACUCCGUG